rnacentral:tRNA from 1 species
UCUCUGGUGGUCCAGUGGUCAAGACACUGCAAUUCCAAAUCAGGGGGGCACAGGUUCGAUCCCUGGUCAGGGAA